CCUCACCUACCCCUGACAUGGUUGGAAUCCAGGAGAGAUCAGGGAGUGUGGAAAGAGAACCACUACACAGGUGUUGCAUGGCAGUGGUCAGUUCGUGUCGUGAGAGGUUGGGUUAAGUCCCGCACCGAGCGCAACCCUUGUCUUUCGUUGCUAUGAAAGGGCACUCUAAUGAGACUGCCGGUGACAAACCGGAGGAAGGUGGGGAGGACGUCAAGUCCUCAUGGCCCUUAUGGGUAGGGGUUCACACGUCCUACAAUGGUACAUACAAAGGGGCGCCAACCCGCGAGGGGGAGGUAAUCGCAGAAAGUGUAUUGUAGUCCGGAUUGUAGUUUGCAACUUGACUCCAUGAAGUUGGAAUUUGGUUGUAAUUUGCGGAUUCAGAAUGUCGCGGUGAAUAUGUUCCCGGGUCUUGUACACCCCCCCCCCACCCCCGGGAGCGGGGUCCCAGAAGUAGGUAGGUAACCCUAAGGAGGCGGCUAUCCUCGUGAUC
rnacentral:rRNA from 1 species